UAAGAAACUAUGAUGGGGAAUAGUAAAAUGGAUUUGCGCCUUUCCAGAGAGGAAGCCGAUUGCUGAGAGGUUUCCAGGCUGCACAUUUGAACCUGCCCCGGAGUUCUGUAUCGGGCAUAUUAGCGAAGAUACGGCGGAAUGUUCCGUUAUACGAUAAGUGCGCAGGGAUUUCCUUGCGAAAUAGGGUGGUACCGCCAGGCCAUGGUCCCUUUU
rnacentral:ncRNA from 1 species